rnacentral:lncRNA from 1 species
AUCAAAUGGUUGCUGCCUUAUCGCCUUCUCUAACAAAGAGCUUCGAUUCUUUUGUUCUAUUCCAACCUGGUUUCCGACUGAAGUCGUUUCAGCUGGACUCCGUUUACUAAAAUUUAGGUUCUUAUGACUUUUAUGUCCUAGUCUUUCGUUCGUAUGCAUGGAUGGUGACACUUUAAAAAUUUAAUCAACUAUCUUUAUAAGAAUUAAAUCUCGUCAAAAGUGCUGACGUGUUUAUACCGGACUGGUAAAAUAAUAGUUCGUUGCUGUCUAUUAUGGGCUUAUAUUGGAUGUAUGGGUUUAUCUACUUCUGUGCAUUUAUUUGCACGUCCCAGACAAACAUAUUAUUAGAUUCAUCAACAAAAAUACG